CCCCUCUAAAUGAGGACCCUCCUGGGGGGGGGGGGCUUUUUGCCCUUGGGUGCUCAUCCCUCCAUUGCCACGGUGAGGUUUCCAUGGCAAGGUCUCCUGUCUUCUGCAAAUCCUUGGAGUGAAACCUACAGGGCAACCCUCAUCAGCGAAGCCCUCUGCCAAAGGUAAGCCAGUCGCUGUCAGCCACAGACAGGAGAGAGCGAGAGAGAGAGAGAGAGAGAUAGAAAGGGAGGGAGAGAUGGAGAGAUGGAGAGAGAGAGGGAGAGAGACUGAUAGAGAGGGAGGGAGGCUGUGUCCCUUCCCUGACCACACCGCUGAGAUUACUGCCAGCUCUAUUAAUCAUGACGCUAUCUCUGUUCUUAAAACAGGCUUUAAUGUCUCGCGUGCCGCUGGAUCAGACGCUGAAGGAGGCUGCGUUGCUGGUCCUGGGCCAUUUGUGGGGCGCCCCUCACCCCUUAUUCCAGUCCAGUUCUUUUCUUAAAUUCUUCCCUCUGUCUCCCCCAGAAUCUGCGUCAGCCACGUAGUUAUAACCCGAUGACGUCUUUGUGUGAAUCCGUGAACGUGCAAACCGCUAACUGCGACCCUUAUUCUCUCCAGGUGAGAUGUCCUGUCCAGGUGAAUCCUUAGCCCAGGGGGGCUUCCCAGACAGGUAGGAGAUGAGGGCAGCGACGGCGCAGGCGUACGUGAUGAUGCCGAAGAUGAUGGACAGCACGGAGAGCCAGAGGGCCUGACGAGACGCCACACUGGCGCCCUGGAAGUCCCCCUGCGCCGACGCCUUAUUGGUCUGCGGGGGAGAGAGGGGGCGGAGUCAGAACAGAGUCGGUGUUUUGGCGAAGCCGCGCGGCGAUAAAACUGUCGCUCCCGAAUAGUUCUGCUGCUGUAAUCCCCCUAAAUGUCCCUGUAAUCCCGGCUAAAUCGCAGGCGCAAUUACGCCACUGCGUGACCCUGCCGAAAACCUCCCUCUCUCUCCCGGACACCGUGCGGCAGGACAGCGGCUCCCACACAGGGGCCGGGACCCACGGAAAAUGCAGGACGGGGUCUAAAUAUUUAGAUCUGUCAACACUGGCUGUACUUACCUUUUGGGAAAGGUAAAAAGCAGCGAUCCCCAGCGGCCAGAAGCAACAGAGCAUGGAGAAGAACGCCAGUCCCAGGUAGUCCUGCGGGAUCAUUAGCGGGAAGUCGCUCUCGCUGUCCGUGUCGCUGAAGUCUUCGCUCGAAGAGUCCUGACAAGACAACAGAUGCGCGCAGAUGUUAGGCUGUGUUUGUACUUACUCCUGCUGAUUAAAAAAAAAAAAAAUUUUUGUUAUAAAAGAACGCAUUCUCUCGCAGAGUCGGAGGUCAAUUCCAUUUCAGUUCAGCAAGGUCAGGGACUAACUGAAAAAAAAAUCUGACCAUGAAUUUGAAAAAAACAAACAAAAACAAAACAAACAAAAAAAACAAUACCAAUGAUCAUCUAUGAGGAUUUUCAAUUAAUUAACUGACUUCGAAAUUAGUUUCCUAAUUUGACUGAAUUAUCAGUCUUGAGAAAUACAGCAGUCAUUUGCUAGAGCACUCAUAACUAGGCUACACAAGAAAACUAUUAGCUGUGACAUGUUUAGGCUGAUUAAACUGUCAAUGUUGCCGUUGUUGUUCUGCGGUUUCGAAGUUGUUCUGUACAAUGACUUUACUGGUACCUAAAAUAACAUGACGGAAUGAGGUUAUUACACGUGUAGAUUAGCUGCGGGCUAAGUAUGAAUCACGUUUAUGGAAAAAGCCAGGUUGUCAGUCAACACCCGAUUUUGUUUUGUGCCAGUGUUUUUUUUUUUUUUACAUCAUCUUUUGUAUUUUCUAAUAGAUGAGGUGCAUUGAGUAUUCACCUCACCCAGCCUUAUGCAGAACCACCCCCACGCCUACCCUCCGCUCACCAAGCCCCCCUCGAACCAGCCAAUCCUGCCAACGGCUUUCUUUGUCAGCUAUUAAGAUUAAAAGGAAAACAGCAGAGACGGAAUUAAAUUUGCGGCAUCACGUAAUGCAUUUCAAAGAGUAGCUCUGGGAUUUAUUUAUUUAUUUUUGCGUGGGUAGCUGGGACAUUCACUCACAGUGUGGUCUUUUAGUCGUUUUUUUUUUUUUUGAACGCGCGUGCUCUGCCUUGUAAAUCAAUCGCCUCUGUUUCAGUUGGUGUCAGUUAGCCAUCGGGUUCGCUUUAGCGGCCGCCAGCCAUGAUGAAGUAGCCUAUGGCCACGGUCUCCAGGGAAAAGAAAUUAUUUAUUGACGAGCGUGAAGUCAGCUUGGGUAAAGACCCGAGGUCGCACGGACCACACCAGAGGGUGUCACUGUUAACAGCGUGUUCACUUUAUUGAUCUUAUUUAACUCGCUCCCGGUUACCAUGGUGGCGGUAAGAGGGAAUUUAUUAUUUCUUUUUUGGUUUCACAAUGAAGGGGUGAUCCUGCCUGCUUUUCAUGAAUAAUAUCAGAAAAGAAAAUGUUUGUGUGUCUUCGGAUCUAGAGUUCUUUUGCAUUUCUACACAGUAAAAUGUUCAGUGUUAAUUCAACUCUGACACAGUACACAAGUCUAUCUGUGUCUGUGAGAGUUAUUUUAACACUGAACAUUUUGCUGUGUUCCCCUCUCUUGAAUGUACAUAGAGCAGGGAUGUCAGAAUCCUGGCCAGUGGAGUUGCAUUGUCUCCUGUUGUUCGGUGAUUUAUUACUUGAAUUUAUAUAAUAAUAACUGACUGGCUAAAGAGCUAUACAUUAGGGGUUUGUGGUGGUGCAUUGCUUCAGAAACAGUGCUUUCCCAUCAGACCCUUGAGUGAAGUGGUGCACUUAACAUGAUUGCCUGAGCAGAUACCCGACACUGUAAAAUGGGCAGUGUGUCAAAAAAGUGAGCGACGGCCAUUUUCCACAACACUUCAAUGCUGAGAAGUUAUACACCUGUAAUAAAUCGUCAAUAACUGUGUUAUGCGCAAUUUAACAAAUUAGAGACGAUGCCAGCCAAACAUUGAUAAAUGUUAAUAAAUGCAUACCAUGGAAACGGUCUUGAUUUCUGAAAUUCCGCACUGCUCAGAUGCCACAAUAAUUACUUUAACGCUGUGUGGACUAUUCUCGAUCUGCCAACUCCAUCUUAAUUACACAUUUACAAACACUUUUUGAACAUCUGCCAGGAUCAGUACAGGAUCCUGUCUGACAGGAUCAACUGUGCAUUGUUAAAUAAUGCAUAAAGCAGUUAUUAAUAGCUUCCAUCAGUGGGAUUAAACCCUGUUUCAUGACCGACAUUGGCUGUCUGUAGUCUGUGUGAUAAAAUACUAAACGCACCAAUAGCUUGCGAUGAUCUAUUCUUAUUGCAUGUUUGUUUGUGCUGGUGCUGUUUUUUUUUUUUUUAGUUUUGUGCUUUACCACAUGGGCACUGUGUUCGUUUAAUGACUGGCCAUGAUUGAUCCUUUUACUCAGUCGGGAGCGUAACGUCACUGCCUUUCCCACGAAGCUUCGUGUUUAUCACUCAUUAGCGAUCGCUCCACCGCUGCACCUGACUCGUCUCAAUUAGCCGCUAAACGACCCCUAAUUACGCACAGCUGCGUGCGCUUGUCGAUUUGCAUUGCUGCACAUGGCUACUGGCAUUUAAGUCCUUUAAUUCAGCUGAACUGACUACACAGUAAAAAUGCUCAGCCUUAAAUCAACUCCUGUUGGACCUACUGGACUCAUAUGUACUCUGUUAGAGCUGAAUCAGCCUCGCGAGCCAGUCUUUUUUCACUUCGUUCAAGAGUUGAAUUAGCACGGGGCAUUUUACUGUGCAUGUGUCUGUAAAUCAUUGAUGUUUUGUAGUGACCAAAUAUGAUCUAUCAACUAGCCUAGUAAAAUGGAGAUUUUUACAUAUUGCAAAGAGAAAAAGUAUGAAAGUACAAAUGUUAAAGUAUUGUAAAAGAAUAUAUUUAAAAAUGCAAUAGUUGCAUGAAUAAGUGGUAUUUGAAACAAAAUGUUGAAAUUGGAGUGAAAAAUAAAAAGUGGUAGAAUGGUAAUUUUCUAAAAUUGGCUGAAGAGCAAAUACAGAGUAUUAUUAUCUGGUUCAGAUAUCACAAUAUCUAAUAUUAGACUGGUGAUUAGAAUAGGGAGAGAUUCUGAUAAUUUCUCCCUAUUUCUCAAUAAAAUCAACAUAUUCUCUGGACAUGAUCAAAAACAUGUAACAGACCAUUUGGUGCAUUAUAUUUGCCUAUUGAAUUGAACAAUUGUCAUCUGGUAAAGCUGUUAUUUUGGACUGAUACCCAUAUUACAGUAAGAAACGCACAUCUGAGCAUCCAUCUUGGCUUAGAAUUUGCAACAACCAAGAGAUUUUCCAGAGUCUUUCAUGCUAAUUUAGGAAAUUUAAAUCCAUCUAUUUGAAUCCAACAGGCAUUCAAGGUAAUUCUCUUCACGUUCCUUCCUUUAGGAGCACAGUAAAAUUCUCAGCAUCACCACUGAUAUAGAGUAUACUGUGAUAAAGUACACUUGAUCCCUGCUCUGUCAAGCUCUGUCAGAGUUCAUUAACAGCUGAUCAUUUUACUGCGUGCUGUCCGAUUCUGAAUUACCCUACAACCAGCAUUAGACUCAGUCAGAACCCAUAAAAAACAAAAUGGGAGGGCAUACCUGUUUCAACAAAUAGCAUUCUUGCUGGGGUAGAAAUAUUCACUUUCAAAAAAAAUAUGAGUAUGUGUUUAUUUUGAUUUGGACUUGAACCAACUAGUCUUUCAUUAAUAUUAUUGAGGGAUUUUAGCACGUUCUGUUCAUUUGUUGACCGCACUGCUGUAAGGCAGACUGAAAGACUGGACACCUGGAAAAUUCUUAACAUGGAGGCAUGGGAACUGGGCCUGAGAAACCGCACCAGUAUGGGAGGAACUUCCUUUACGGCAGGUCGUAAAACCAUUAGGCCGAGGCUCCUGUAUCCUGCAAGAUGGAUUACGACCUCCUGAACUCCAGGGCAGAAGUGAGUCAGGACACCUUCCUUUUUCGUUUACUCCAAACAAGGGAUCUCAUACAGAAACCAUACAGAGCUGGAAAGAUACAUUUUUCUUUUCAGAGCACUGUAUAAAGGAAACUGUGAAAACUUUCUGCAAAUACUCUGCAUUAUGUUAUCAUUGAGAUAUUGUUUGUCUGAUGUAAUAUAUUGUAUUAGAGUAACAUAAUCACAAUAUACUGGAUAAAUGUAAUAUCAAUAUUAAUACACGUACUUUACCUGACUUAGGUUAAAGGUGUAUAUUGUAGGUAUUGCUACAAUCAGAAUUCAGGGAUCUGUUUGGUUUUUAAAUAUUCAUUUAAUUAGUAGAACUGUGAAAAGGGAGGUUUCAUGACAAAGAGUGUAGCUGCGCAAGAUUUACACUGCCGUGAAUGUAAUAAUCUUUACCCACAAUGCCUUUGUCCUUGUAGCGGUUGUGAUUGGCUCCUCCUGUGCUUUGUCAUAUUGGCUUUUUGAGUCACCCUGAAUACAAUACGUCCAUCAGAUUAAUCAUAACUUAAUGUUAAUUAUGAAUAAUGAUCCUACUACUUCUACUUAUAUUAAUAACAAUAACAAAACUAAUGAUAAUAAUAACUCUGAUACCGUGUAAUCAAGUUUAGAUCAACCAGUGAAUGAAAACAGCUUUUUCAAUACUAAUAUUCAUGUUACCAUUUAAGUUAUUUCUUUAGUUCAUACUAACGGCCACCCUCGUAUCACAUGAGGACAGCUGGCUGGAGUCCCAGGCAACAGGGCGACAGAGAGGAGGGGCUUCACCACCACAGUACUGAGUGGGUUCCCCCGUUCUGUCACCGUGGGAACCGGCUGCGGGUUCCACCUGGUCACUAAGAUAAGCGCGUGUUAGCAUUCCGCACCAUAACAAAACUGCGGAAUGAGAACAGAUCAGAGGCUGACGGGCUCCAGCAGCGAAAAAUGUGCAGAAGAAGAUAUGAUAUGGGGGCUCUGUGCAUUCCAGGAGCUCAAAGGAAUAUGAGCAUUUGUAAGAGAUUUACUCAUUCUUAUUUCACUGAACAGGAUUGACUAUGUAUAUAUAUUUUUUUUUUUUCACAAGUGCAUAAAUUCUAUAUUACUUAUAUAUCAGAUUAUUUUCAUUCCAAACCUUUCACAAAACGUAUAGCCCGAAACAUCGUUGUUAUUUGUUCCAUUGAAUAUGCCUGUCAUGUUAUGAUUUGGUUGCUUGUUGUUGUGGUCUGAAAACUGUCACCAUAAGGAUUUACAUAAUGAAGUGUGACAGGCGAUCGCUUGACUUGAUAACUGCUGCUUGUGGAUGCAUGCUUGAGUGCACUUGCAAAACGCAUCAGGAGCACUACCUCGUAAUCGUGCAGCAGGUCGUCCUCGUCGUCCAUGUUGUAGGACACACUGUGGACAUCCCUCAUCUCCCUGAGCAACUUCCUGUCCAGAGGGGAAGUGGGCCCGAGGUCAACGAAGGUCGUUUCCAGGUAGUCCUUACUGUGCAGGCCGAGGGACUGAGGGUUGCCCCAUAUUGACGCUGGGGGGUAAAAGGGCUCCAGCGUUUUGGGCAAGGAACACGGGUCCAGGAACUGCUGUUGAUGGAGCUCUUUGGGCCCGCAGUAACUCCUCCAGGCCACUGGGGGCAGUGUGUUCUCCUCCUCACAUCUCACCAGGAUGCCCUUGAACAGCCCGCCGCCGCCACCACUUGUACCGCUGCCAUUUCCGCCGCAGUGUGUGGGGCUGGCGGGCAGCAGGGGGUGCUCCAGCUCAUCUAGACUCUCCAUUCUGCUCUAGAAAUGGCGGUUUGAACGGAUUUGACGUCAUCAACCGUCAUCAACCGGUGAUCGUGCUCCUGCUCUCUGUACUCCUCUGUAUGCAAACAGUCAGCUGAGUUCAGUGCCAGGGCUGGAAAUGAUCCAUGGAUAAUGGCAACAAUGCAAUAAUGAUUGACUUUCUUCUUAUUGUUCUCAAACCAGAUUCUGAUACAGCGCCAGCUCAGACUAGCAGAAAGGAUCCAGGAAAUGAGAGCAUCAGACUCCUUGGUUGUGUUCUUCAGGCACGCAGUAGGUAAUUUGUUGUUUG